rnacentral:tRNA from 1 species
AUUUAUUUAGUAUAUAAAGUAUAAUUGACUUCCAAUCAAUAGGACUGAGCAACCAGAAUAAAUA